AUACUUACCAGGCAGGGGAGAUACUGUGGUCACGAAGGUGGUUUUCCCAGGGCGAGGUUUAUCCAUUGCGCUCCAUAGAUAACUGACCCCUGUGACGUCCCCAAAUGUGGGAAACUCGACUGCAUAAUUUGUGGUAGUGGGGGACAGUGUUCAAGCUCUACCCUG